rnacentral:rRNA from 1 species
GAUGAACGCUGGCGGCGUGACUAAGGCAUGCAAGUCGAACGCGUCCAAUGAGAUUACAUCAAGAUGGACGAGUGGCAGACGGGAGCGUAACACAUUGGUAACCUACCUCGAAGUCGCGAAUAACCUAGGGAAACUUGGGCUAAUACGCGAUAUUGUCCCGACGGUAAACGUCGGAAUGAAAGUCCAGGCGCUUCGAGAGGGGCCUAUGUCCUAUCAGCUUGUUGGUGAGGUAAUGGCUCACCAAGGCGACGACGGGUACCGGGCGUGAGAGCGUGACCCGGCUCACUGGGACUGAGACACUGCCCAGACACCUACGGGUGGCUGCAGUCAUGAAUAUUCCACAAUGGGCGAAAGCCUGAUGGAGCGACGCCGCGUGCCGGAAGAAGGCCUUCGGGUCGUAAACGGCUUUUCUUAGGGAAGAACAAAUGACGGUACCUAAGGAAUAAGAGGUUGCUAACUCUGUGCCAGCAGCAGCGGUAAUACAGAGACCUCAAGCGUUAUCCGGAUUUAUUGGGCGUAAAGGGUCCGUAGGCGGAUCGGUAAGUCAUGUGUUAAAUCUUCGGGCUCAACCCGGAGGCCGCACUUGAUACUGUCGGUCUAGAGGACGGAGAGGCACACGGAAUUGCCGGUGUAGCGGUAAAAUGCGUUAAUAUCGGCAAGAACACCAAAGGCGAAGGCAGUGUGCUGGAACGUUUCUGACGCUGAGGGACGAAAGCGUGGGUAGCGAAUGGGAUUAGAUACCCCAGUAGUCCACGCCCUAAACGAUGAAUGCUAGGUAUUGGGAGUAUCGACCCUCCCGGUGCCGGUUAAACAAGCUAACGCAUUAAGCAUUCCGCCUGGGGAGUACGGUCGCAAGACUAAAACUCAAAGGAAUAGACGGGGACCCGCACAAGCGGUGGAGCGUGUGGUUUAAUUCGAUGGUAAGCGAGGAACCUUACCUGGGCUUGAACUGUAGCUGCAGGCCUGAUGAAAGUCGGGCGGCCUUCGAGGGUGCUACAGAGGUGCUGCAUGGUUGUCGUCAGCUCGUGGCGUAGCUGUUCCC